UGUUACCAAUCAGAGGAUAUAGUGCUGCUCCACGCCUGAUGUCGUGACUUGUGUACGUUGAAGCCGUCUUGCCGAGGGGACUUCCGUGUUCGAUCGUCACUACUUGACUACUGGGGUUGGAAACGGGUGCCGUCUGGCGAGGUCCAAUAGCAGCAGAUCGACUUCCGGUUCGGUCUGGAGUCGAACAUGAAUUCGGGGAAAAAGAACAACUUCUCUCGGAAAUACUUGACCUUCGUGACGAAGCUGAUAGGAAUCAAAAGCAGAAAAAACAGGCGAAAGGGGAUGAAGAAGCGAAGGCCAAGGAACUGCGGAAGAAAGCGAUGGAAACUCUGUCAGCCCCAGUAGAAGGUCAAGAAGAUGGUGAAAGUGUGGCUAAGCGGAGUAGGACCACGAACAGCAAGGCGCUGGACUUUUUGGCCGACAAAUCUAAGCAAGACCAAGGGCUGCAGCGGGAGGAGAUUGAGUUGAAGAAAAAAACAACUAGAACUGGAUACUGCUCGAUUUGACUUGGAGAAGGAUGAAAGGAGGCUGAGGCUUGAGAGUGAAAGAGAAGAGAAGAAGUUUUUGUUCGGCAUGAUGAAGAGGUUUAUGGCGAAAUGAUCCGGGCCAUGAUU